UGUGACCUCAAAUCAGGUAGGACUACCCGCUGAACUUAAGCAUAUCAAUAAGCGGAGGAAAAGAAACUAACAAGGAUUCCCCUAGUAACUGCGAGUGAAGCGGGAAAAGCUCAAAUUUAAAAUCUGGCAGUCUUUGGCUGUCCGAGUUGUAAUCUAGAGAAGUGUUAUCCGCGUUGGACCGUGUACAAGUCUCCUGGAAUGGAGCGUCAUAGAGGGUGAGAAUCCCGUCUUUGACACGGACUGCCAGGGCUUUGUGAUGCGCUCUCAAAGAGUCGAGUUGUUUGGGAAUGCAGCUCAAAAUGGGUGGUAAAUUCCAUCUAAAGCUAAAUAUUGGCGAGAGACCGAUAGCGAACAAGUACCGUGAGGGAAAGAUGAAAAGAACUUUGGAAAGAGAGUUAAACAGUACGUGAAAUUGCUGAAAGGGAAACGCUUGAAGUCAGUCGCGUUGGCCAGGGAUCAACCUUGCUUUUGCUUGGUGUACUUUCUGGUUAACGGGUCAACAUCAAUUUUGACUAUUGGAAAAAGAUUAGAGGAAUGUGACAUCUUCGGAUGUGUUAUAGCCUUUAGUUGUAUACAAUAGUUGGGAUUGAGGAACUCAGCACGCCGCAAGGCCGGG
rnacentral:rRNA from 1 species